rnacentral:rRNA from 1 species
AGUGAUGUAUUCAACGAGUAUAUAUCCUUGGCCGACAGGCCUGGGUAAUCUUGGGAAAUUUCAUUGUGAUGGGGAUAGAUCAUUGCAAUUGUUGGUCUUCAAC